GAGGAUACAGUCCUUCCUAUCCAUUUGCUUUACUAUCUUAAUAAUCUUGUUGCAUAUGAAUCCUUGGCAAUCCAGCAUCCAGAGAGCCCGCUUUCCAGGUUCGGUACCUUCAGAGCUGCAUACUUGGAACCAGAAUAACUCAGCAUUGGACCAAAGUUUACGGCCACCCGUUAUCUUCCGCACUCCUUUUUCCUUCAUCUUACUUCUCACCAGGGAGACAUCUUUCCUUUAAUCAACUGAUGCAUAAAUGUAGACAACAAUGCAUAGUUUGAGGCUUGAGUUCAAAAAGACAUUUGUAUUGGUUUUGGUCAGUAAUACCAAUUUUUAUGGUUUUAUCCAAACAAUAUGCUUUAUGACUUUGUAGUGAAUGGUGUAAUGCCUGCUUCUUUCUGUUAUGUAAAUUCAUUUCUUCUGUUUUGUUCAUUGGUUUUAUAUUAAUCCUGUAACCGUACCAUGGUCUGUCAUGUGUUGUUGUAGGUCCAAGGUUUGGAAUUGUUUUAACCAUGCUACCGAUUAUGACUAAAAGGCAUUUGGCGUGUUUGUGAUAUGCAGGUACAGGGAUAAUUUAGAAAACCAUUUUCUCGCUUGGAAGUAGCAUUAGAUCAAACACAUACCAUAGCUGUCGACACACAUUAUCAAGCUUGGAGAUCACUUCUUGUAAUACGGUCGGUCUGUUCGUGCACGGGACUUAAGUGUGGUUUGUGUUUUGGUGAGGUAAGCUGCACUUGGUUCAUUUUUGGAUUGUGGAGGUAUUCAUUCAACUUAUGUUAUGUCAUGGUUUUAUCUGGUCAUGGAUAACUUGGUGUAGUGAUAAUGAUAUCAUGCUAGGCGUUCUUUGCCGGUUCAAUAUAACACAAUGAGUUUGGCCAAGGCUUGGAGAAAAAAAUGCAAAGCAAAUUAUCCUGAACUCGGGUGAUGAAACAUGGACAAUUGAGGUUUUGCUGUAAGUUGAACAUGGCUGCAACUUGCCGCCACCGCGACAUCAUUAUUCACAGUUGGCUUGGUUUUGCAGUUUGGAUUUGGACGGCUUGGCUAGUGGCGUUCCGAAUUUGUACUGCAUUAAAUCACCAGUUUGUUGUGCUCUGGAACUUCUUGAGCUUUCUGUAAUUACUUAGGCUUUUUAUUUGGAAUGCUGAAUUUUGAGUAGUUUGUAGCCUUAUGUCUGCUGCAUUCCUGGCUUUCCCGUCCAACUACCCUUUUUAUGUUCUAUAUGUUUUGGAUAUGUAUGCUGGCGGGAUAUGUAGACUGGAUAACGUUUUUAAUGGAAAAUUGGGUCAUGGAUGUUAGCAAAAGUGAUUAUGAAAAUGGAUUAUGGAUGUUAGUGGA
rnacentral:lncRNA from 1 species